rnacentral:tRNA from 1 species
GUAGAUCUAGUUUAACUAAAACAUUAGAUUGUGAUUCUAAAGACAGGAGUUAAAACCCCUUGGUCCACC